ACUGCUCAGUAACACGUGGAUAACCUGCCCUUGGGWCCGGCAUAACCCCGGGAAACUGGGGAUAAUUCCGGAUAACGCACAUAUGCUGGAAUGCUUUAUGCGUAAAAUGGAUUCGUCUGCCCAAGGAUGGGUCUGCGGCCUAUCAGGUAGUAGUGGGYGUAAUGUACCUACUAGCCWACAACGGGUACGGGUUGUGAGAGCAAGAGCCCGGAGAUGGAUUCUGAGACAUGAAUCCAGGCCCUACGGGGCGCAGCAGGCGCGAAAACUUUACAAUGCGGGAAACCGUGAUAAGGGGACACCGAGUGCCAGCAUCAUAUGCUGGCUGUCCAGGUGUGUAAAAUACACCUGUUAGCAAGGGCCGGGCAAGACCGGUGCCAGCCGCCGCGGUAACACCGGCGGCCCGAGUGGUGAUCGUGAUUAUUGGGUCUAAAGGGUCCGUAGCCGGUUUGGUCAGUCCUCCGGGAAAUCUGACGGCUCAACCGUUAGGCUUUCGGGGGAUACUGCCAGGCUUGGAACCGGGAGAGGUAAGAGGUACUACAGGGGUAGGAGUGAAAUCUUGUAAUCCCUGUGAGACCACCUGUGGCGAAGGCGUCUUACCAGAACGGGUUCGACGGUGAGGGACGAAAGCUGGGGGCACGAACCGGAUUAGAUACCCGGGUAGUCCCAGCCGUAAACGAUGCUCGCUAGGUGUCAGGCAUGGCGCGACCGUGUCUGGUGCCGCAGGGAAGCCGUGAAGCGAGCCACCUGGGAAGUACGGCCGCAAGGCUGAAACUUAAAGGAAUUGGCGGGGGAGCAC
rnacentral:rRNA from 1 species